GCCAAAACAUUUCCCAGCGCCGCGUCAGCCUGCCUUUGGACACGUUCCUUACUAAAACAAAUAGGUCUAACAAAUCAUCUUUGAUAGCAAAUACUCAUAAAGACAAACAAUGAAAACUACUAUGUUGUGUGUCUUAGGGCAGCCGGCACUGUGUGGAAUUGCCACACACAGAAGCAAAACAAUCGGGCUUGCCAGGCCAGCUCCCAGAAGUCAGCGGCUCAUGGCAACAUGCUUCUUUUGGGUGCCAGCGCUGAGCCUGUGUCUAUGUCUGCAGCGUAUGUAAAUACUGGCGCGCCUCUGCAUUGGUAAAGCCGUAGGUGUGCAUGGUCUGUUCUCACGCGGUGAGUUGGGGUGUGUAAAUGCAUGCGGGGGUGUGGGACC
rnacentral:lncRNA from 1 species